UGUAAGCUCCGAAAUGACAACUCCUUAAAGACCUUCUCUCAGGUGCUAUACGGGAAGAACCAAUGUUUAUGGUAUUGGACAAAUGACCAUGGAGCAGGUUUAACAGAACAUUUUUGUUUCUACUUAAACCUUUGGGUGAUGAAGUUCACUCUGUGUGUUUUAUUUAAGUUAGAUAAGAUAUGGGGAGGGAAGAAAGCAGACGCACUGUCAUAUUUCACGCAUUGAACUUCCUGCAUGUUAUCUCUUCCCUUCCCUUUACACAAGUGCCAGGUGCACUUCCAGCCGGUGAGACUGGACUGUUUUAAAGAGCUUGCAGUCGAAGCUAAGAUGUUGCUGCUGGAUAUCUCUGAUCUCAUUUGGGAGAGAAGAGGGGAAAAAAGCUGUGAGGUUGGCCUGCAGGAGCGGUGGCAGCAUGCGGGGUGGAGUCGUAGCUCUAUCAGGAGAGCCAGAACUCUCCAAGUUUGCAGUGAGUCUGAAUUAUGAAGCAGGUGUCUGCACCGCUCCGGAGCCUGUGCUCAGCUUGCUCGCGGUGCAGCCGGCCUAGCAGCAGGAAGCUGCGGUCACCUGGGAGCUUAGAUGGACUUCGGGUGCCGCAGCCAGCUGGAUCAUCUCCUACCACAGAUCUGAAGUAUUUGAAGCCUCCAGUGACAGAGGAUCUGUUUGCAUCCGGCUUCCAGCAGCUGUUGUUCAAAUCUUCGGAGAAACUCUGUAAUUCUUCAGGUACUACCCUAAGGCUUGUGACCAGGUCAGUCAUAGCUUAAAACUCCACCUGUUGACAAUAGGAGGAUGACCCAAUGCUGGGAAAGAACUUGGAAUAAAUGUGCUUAAUUAAAUUAAGCUUAUGGUAUCACAUAUUUCAGUGAUGACAAAAUGAUUGCAGCAGAUCUUACCUGGCAGGACAUUUUACCUUUUUUGGAAUGCAGUAUUUCCGUAACAGGAGAGUAUUUCUAUCCUCCACACCCAUCAGCUUGUGUUAUACUAGUGAUUUCUUUACAGACUAAUUCCUUGUAGACAGUUCCCUAAAGCAGAAUGCUUUCUGUAAAUGCCCAAUCAGAGUAAAUUUGCCAGGUACUCGAACUAAAGGGAUGAGAGACAAGGAUUUGCUGUUAGAUAAGCUGCUGAAACAGAAGAGUUGCUCAGCUUAUUGUCCUAUACGUUUGCCCAGGUCUCUUCAAACUCUAAACUAGUUAAGUUGCUUGUUUUCCCUGUAAGACUUCA